rnacentral:tRNA from 1 species
GAAGGUGUAGUUCAGUGGUAGAGCAUGUAGACCUCAGUGGUAGACCUAGCAUAUGCGAGGUCCUGGGUUCAAUCCCCAGUACCUCCA